AAAUGAAAAUUUUAUUUUGAUGAUUCUCUUUGUGAGUUCAUGAAGCCUCUAAAGAUCUCUUUGUGAGUUCUUGAAGAGGAGUUUGCCGGAGAUCUCUUUGUGAGUUCUACCGGUGGCGUGGUGCAAGCCACCAAACUCCUGCACAAGAGCUCCACGUUCCAUCUGUCCCAGAUAUCCAAUUUGCUGGUGUUCCCCUUCUCAGCUUGCUGCCAAGAAGAACCAACCCAGUUUUCUCACUGCUCUGUGGCCUGAAGUCACCCCGGUUGCUGUCCCGAAGCCCUCCAAGGGCUAUUACAGGUUUUCUGCCAUUACAAAUGCUGUCCAGUGAAUUGGAGAGAUCACCAUUGCAGCCCACUGUCCACUAGUAUCAAAUUCAGCAAGCAUAAUUGUCCGGGAUGACGUCGUAGUUGCUGUCCAACAAUUCUGCAGGAUUCCUUGCACCACACCCUCACCCGGGAGGCCCCAAUCGAUGUCCAGAAUUCCAUACUCCGGCCACCUAUCCAAGAACGACGAUCUUAGGUACCUUCUUCCUCGGAGUGACCUCGGUUCUAAUGUGGAGACUCUUCUUCCGCUAAAGCCUAGACUAGUUGAGCGUAUGGACUCCAAAGGUGAAAAUUCUCAUUAUUAAAUCGUGGACUCUUGUUUAUUGUCGUAGUUUUACAAUUAUUCUUUGUGUAUUCUUGAAUUGUUUGGUUGAUUGAUUGCGCUCUUCUUUGCCUAAGCAAGUUAAAAA